CCCUUAGAUGUUCUGGGCUGCACGCGCGCUACACUGAAGCGUUCAACGAGUAUUCACCUUGCCCGGGAGGGUUGGGUAAUCUUUUCAAAACGCUUCGUGAUGGGGAUAGAUUAUUGCAAUUAUUAAUCUUCAACGAGGAAUUCCUAGUAAGCGCGAGUCAUCAGCUCGUGCUGAUUACGUCCCUGCCCUUUGUACACACCGCCCGUCGCUCCUACCGAUUGGGUGUGCUGGUGAAAUGUUCGGAUCGGCCGUUUGUCGCGGUUUCCGCGUCAUGUGGCUGAGAAGUUCAUUAAACCCUCCCACCUAGAGGAAGGAGAAGUCGUAACA
rnacentral:rRNA from 1 species